GCGUGGAGGAGAGAGAGAGAGGCAGAGAAGGCGAGAAAGAACGAGAGAGCCAGACUGAAUCUGGCUCCACCAAUGGGAUCAGUGGCUGCCCAGCGUCAGGACAAGCUGCCCUCAGAAGAAGUCCCUCUAACACACCCCUACUUGGAAAUCUCUCACUUGAAUGCAGCCCCCAAACUUUAGGAGGCUUUGCUACCACCAAAGGAAAACUCCAGGGAUGCCACUGUGAAGAACACUCAAGGAAAUUUGAAUCAAGCAACCAACAGUGACAAAGAGAGUGCAGUGUGGAAAAGCAUGGGCUUUACAAUUAAACAGACACAAUUAAAAUUCUUGUUCUCUC